rnacentral:lncRNA from 1 species
CUUUGGUACUUAGAAGAGGGAAAUUUGGAUGCUGAACAAGACAAUCACAGGGCCAGUGUCCCAGUUUAAAGUCAGAUGAAUGUUGGGUAAAAUUAUAAAAAUAGAAACUGCCUUAGGACAGUAAUAAAAACAUUCAACAUUGUCUUUCAAGGUGACCAGGGUCUCUAUUUCUAAAUGCAGGGUGCUGCGAGGGAAGAACACUGUUAAGUGAGCCAUGUGAGUGAGGGAUUUAUCUCCUGCUUAUGAAACAGUCAGCUCCUUUCUCAGCUUCAAAGAGAACAAAAGCUGGAAAUGGGAGAAUCUCCCUGUGAAUGAUUGACCAAGACAGUCAUAGAAGCUGUGUAAAUUGGGAGAGUUCCAAAAUUACUUGCAACCCAAUGACAGCUCUGGAGAAGAUAUCACUGCCAAAGAAAAUGAAAGCAGCCUGGAAAUAUAAGCAUAAGACAGAGAAAAUACAACAGUCAGGGCAGAGAAUGUUAGCUCCAGGAAAAAAAUUGAAGAGAGGAAAAGGUCUGAAGAGCUCUUAUGUCAAGUCUAGAUUCUUUUCAGCUCUUUGUUAAAGCACCAAGAUAAACAGACCAGGGUGAACCUACUGGAAAAACAAACACAUGUGUAUACUUUAGACAUUGGAAAUAAGACAUCUGAUCAUCAAAACAAGCAUCAGCUGUGUGUGACUCUUUUGGCUCUCUGAAGAUCAAGAAGUCAAAUGGGUUUAAAGACUGGCUCUACUGUUAAGAGGACUUUGGGAGCCCAUUCACUAUGGAGGGAUACUAUUGCAGCCCAGAUACAGCAAGGAGGGCCUAGGCCCUCCCCCAAAUGAUAUGACAGACUUGGAAGGUCCCUUGUGGAGGACCUCACUAUCCCUGGGGAGAAGUUAGGGGGUUGGGAGUAACAUGGGAGGAUGGGAAGUCAAGGGAAUGGGGGGAUGGAUAUGUAAAUAUCAGUAGUAAUUAAAGAAUUAAAAAAAAGAAGUCAAAUAGUUCAAUUGGAAUUGCUGAACCAGCGUCAUGAGUUUGCUUUCAUAGUGGCAUUGUUCACUCUCCAGGGAGGCCCUUAAAACGGGAAAAUUUCCCUCACCCUAAAGUCCAGCUGCUGCAAACUAAAACCUAGUGGAAUGUCUCAAGCACACCAUGUGGUACCUAAUCACCUACUAUUGAGAUCUGCUGGUCCAUGUUGACCACUGUAGGAAGCAGCAGAUAUUUCUCACUCUUAUACCAGAAAAUUCUGGACAGUAGUCUAUGUUUGCUUAUGGACACUUGGAAUCACACCUUCCAUCUCUUGCAUAAGCAUCUACCCAUCAACCACUCGCACUCUGGCAUGCCAGGGCAUCCUUGUAUUGUCUGCUUCUUUUAAGUCUUAUUGUUCCCAUCAAGCAGAAUGAUGCAACUGUGAGAUAGAGGGAAUACACUAUUGAAUUAUUUAUUUUCCAUUUUCUGUUAUAGUUACCCAAAACCUUGUUUAUUAUUAUUUUGUUCUGAGAAAUUUUUGCCAUCUGCAGGUGUCCACAAAGGCGAGAAGAGGGCAGUAGAUCCCCUGAAAUUAUAGAGAUACAAGUGGUUG